AUGUAAAAUUCAUCUUGCGUUCUUUUUUAGCAAUACUAAAAAAAAGAUGCAGAUACUCUAAAUUUAUUUUACAGAAACACAACAGAAUA